rnacentral:tRNA from 1 species
UAAUGGUUAGCUCAGUUGGUAGAGCGCUCGACUUGGAAUAAAGAGGUCCCUGGUUCGAUACCAGGACCAAG